UACGUAGGCAGCGAGCGUUGUUCGGAGUUACUGGGCGUAAAGAGUGCGUAGGCGGUUUUCUAAGUUUGGUGUGAAAUCUCCCGGCUUAACUGGGAGGGUGCGCCGAAAACUGGAAGGCUUGAGUAUGGGAGAGGUAAGCGGAAUUCCUAGUGUAGAGGUGAAAUUCGUAGAUAUUAGGAAGAACACCAGUGGCGAAGGCGGCUCACUGGUCCGGUACUGACGCUGAGGUGCGAAAGCGUGGGGAGCAAACAGG
rnacentral:rRNA from 1 species